CGCCUCCGCGGCCACCGCGGGGUGGGGCGCAGCCCCCCCUCCUCAGGGCGCAGCCACGUCCUGCCCCGGGCAGCCUUUCCCUUCCUCCUCCUCCUCCUCCUUACCGAGUCUCCUUUUAAGGCUUUUCAGUGAUUCAAAAAAACUAAAGUCUUCAUUGUCGCCCCCUUCUCCUCCGCUGCGCCAAGGGGCGGCGGGCGGGACGCGCGCCCCGACACACCGGCACAAGCGCUCCGAGCCCUGUCAAAUCCUUCCCAUGGCUGCGGCGGCGGCUGCUGCUGCUGCUGCUGCGGAGACGGCGCCCUCCUCCUCCUCCACCCGGUGCGCGUCCUGAGGCGGAGGAAAAGCGCCGGCGUCUCCGCUCCGGCCGCACGAUGCGGGCCGAGAGGCCCCAACGACGGCGGCGGCGGCUUCACUCCGGGCGGCGCGAUGGUGUCCCGGCUUCGCCCCCCCGGGCAAAGGGCAUCCUCGGGCGGGCCGCCUGUGGGGUGGAUGAUGGCAGCUGCCCACUGGCACGCCGCGGUAGAUCUCCUGGCCAGAGGUGCCAGGGAUGCGCUGUGGUGCUCCGGGGAUUGAAGGUCAUCUCUAAGACAACGUGUCACUUCAGUUCGUCCUUCCUCAGAAGCCAGGUGAAAGGGGAGGAAGGCCCCACAGCCCCCAAAGGUCAUUGGCUGUAGGUGAACUUCAGCUUUCUCCUGAAGCCCGCCAAGCCCUGCAUCUUCUGGAGCUCAGGGGAAGGAAAAAGCUCAGGCUUCUGCUUCCUCAGUUCAGUAACCAACAGGUGACCCUCAACUGGGGCUUUCCAUACCGAGCAUCUAUAUAACACUUGUUUUUUUUUUAACUGGCCUUUUUACCAGCUGAUCUAAAACAUCAACAGUCUUACAUACCCAGUAAAAUGUGCUACACAAUACGAUUAAAGUCCCAUAUGUUUGUUCAGAA